rnacentral:lncRNA from 1 species
CACGGGUGUCAUUCGGUUUAUCGAGAGAAAUGAUCGUGAAAGAAUAUCUAACGGCGGUCAAGUAUUGAGAGACGAUCGUGAAAGUUCUGGUAACGGAUCGUGAAAGACAUUUAAUGUACAUUCUAGUUCAGAAUCUUUGAAAAAAUCGCUUAAUUUUCAAAACGCGGAACAAAUCCGAACAAAAAAAUAUGUCUGUCAAAAUGGUUUAACUUCCUCAACAUAACUGUGAAAGAAGAUAAAGAAAAUUUGAAGUACUUUUUGAAAAAACACAAAAGGCGCAAUGCGUGUCUAUGAAAAUUAUUACAAAUAACACGCUUUUUGUACCUAUAAUGGUGAUUUUUCAGUUUAUCGGGAUAUAUUUGAAAUUUAAUCUUGGGUGUAUCUGAUAGUACAGUAAAAUUAAGGUAUGUUCUUCUCUUAAAAGCAUUAAUUUGUAUAUGAAAACCUUGAAUUUGUUGAAUAUCCAUCAAACUUGAUCGUGAAAGCUCAGGCAACGCAUUAUUUUGAUCGUGAAUAAUAAUGCGUGACAAGACCUAUUAUUACUAGUAAUCAGAAAUCAGUAUUUCUUUUACCAUUUGAUACACCUGCAACUGGUUGAAGCCUGUAACUAUUUUAAUAAGGAUGAACAUUAAAGCUAUUUUUUUUAUUCAACACUUUACCUCGAAAGUUAAAAAAAACAACUAAAAACGUCUCUAAAUAAGUUUGAAAGAUUUAGCUCUGAGAAUCGACCAAGUGCAAUUCAGGCAGACCGACACUAUUUAGCCAAUAAUAUGGAUAUGCAACGUUUAAACCAAAAUGAUAUCCAUCAAACAAAAAAUUACAGCAAAACAGCAUCUUUCAUGAGUAAUUUGAGAUUGAACGAUAACCAACAUUUUGUGCAAUAGUACUUUCUUAAGUUCUGUAUAUACAACGCAGAUGUGGAUUGAUUUAACUAUAUACUACAGACUAUAGAAUAGCAGAACGCAAAUGCUGUAAUGUCUCGUCUGCUUUACUUAUGAUAGUUAAUUUUUGGAACGUCUAUAAUAUCAAGGGUUUUACUAGAAGUGUCAAAUGCGAUUAAUGCACUUAAUGUAUUUUUGUCCAUCUGAUGAGUUACGCCUUUUCAAUUGAUUUUUAUAGUUCGUUUUUAUUUUGUACUGUUAUACCACUGUCUCAGGUUAGGGGAGGGUUGGGAUCCCGCUAACAUGUCUAACCUCGCCACAUUAUUUAUUAAUGUGUCUGUCCAAAGUCAGGAACCUGUAAUUCAGUGGUUGUCGUUUGUUUAUGUGUUACAUAUUUGUUUUUCGUUUAUUUUUUUUUUAUACAUAUAAGGCCGUUAGUUUUCUCGUCUGAAUUGUUUUUACAUUGUCAUAUCGGGGCCUUUUAUAGCUGACUAUGCGGUAUGGGCUUUGCUAAUUGUUGAAGGCUAUACGGUGACCUAUAAUUGUUAAUGUCUGUGUCAUUUUGGUUUUUUUGUGGAUAGUUGUCUCUUUGGCAAUCAUAUCGCAUCUUCUUUUUUUAAAAUUAUGAUUGUCAAUGGUUCAUAAAAAGAGUGCAAGGUCAGAUGAACCAUGACAUACAGAUCUCUACAAAUAUCCCGUAGACCAAAUAAAUGUGUUCCAAUCGUUACAGUGCCUUAGAAACUGACAAAAGUUAUGCUUGGCAAAUUAAUUCGAAACAUAAGGUCAAAAGUAUAUGAACCCUGACCGACAGCCAGACAUAGACAUCUUGCUAUUAUUCAAUAUAUCAAAUACAAUUGACGUCAUCAUGGUCAUAUAUGAAACAUGUAGACAGACGUCAUGUACACCAUACACGAAAUACCAUGGCGCUAUAGCAUACAGGUAUAUAUCCAAAAGGCUAGACAACAUAAAACGAGCAUUGCCGAAUGAUGCAUGACAAUGAGUUCGAUGUUAUUUGAAACCUUGCAGAAGUCGAAAAUAUAAUCCUCACAAUCAUAAGAACAGACAGUUAUCCUAAAGCUUAACGAAUCCGCGAUACGGACUUGACCACAAAAAUGAAUCUUCAUCCAUGAAAUAAGGCAAAUUCGGGGUCAGGUGAAUCCUGUCUGACGGACAUGUAGUUUAUAGGAUCCAAUAUACAAAAUGUGGGUAUCCUAUAACUCGUAAUAAGUUAGUACUUUACAUAACAAUAAAAAGCUUCAUCCUACAAUCAUCCAAGUAUUUUACAUAUUUCAUUUUCUGAAAAUAUUAAUACUUUGAAAAGCUUAAACCUAUUGAGGAUGUUGACCUAUAUAGCUUUUCUCAAUAUAAAUAACAAAUAUUAAUUAUGAUAUAAUUGAAGAAUAAUUUGAACGUCUUCGUAGCAUCAGAUCUUUCACGGUCACUUUCACGAUCUUCAAAAAUGCGGUACGUGAUCUUUCACGAUCCGAAAAAUCAAUUUUUGUGUAAAUAGUACUUUAUUUACCAAGUUUCAGAUUAUGUUUAUACAAAAUAACUAUGAGAACCAUUUGAUUAAUUCAAACAGAAUGCCCUUGUUCGUAUUAAAGUAGGUUUUCUAGUUGAAUUUGUGAAAAAAUCAUGUUUGUUUACAUUUUUUAUGUCACUGAAAUGUCGAGAAGCAAUCUGCCUUUU